GACAGAGGGUGCAAACGUUGUUCGGAAUUACUGGGCGUAAAGCGCGUGUAGGCGGCUCUGCAAGUCGGGUGUGAAAUCCCAUGGCUCAACCAUGGAAGUGCACUCGAAACUGCAGGGCUAGAGUCCUGGAGAGGAAGGUGGAAUGCUUGGUGUAGAGGUGGAAUGCGUAGAUAUCGGGAGGAACACCGGUGGCGAAGGCGGCGAUCUGGGUAGAGUACUGACGCUGAGGUGCGAAAGCGUGGGGAGCAAACAGG
rnacentral:rRNA from 1 species